rnacentral:rRNA from 2 species
GUUUCGAUGGUCAUAGCUGUUUC